GACGUAGGGCGCGAGCGUUGUCCGGAUUUAUUUGGGCGUAAAGAGCUCGUAGGCGGCUUGUUGCGUCAGCUGUGAAAACCCGCAGCUCAACUGUGGGCUUGCAGCUGAUACGGGCAGGCUUGAGUUCGGUAGGGGAGACUGGAAUUCCUGGUGUAGCGGUGAAAUGCGCAGAUAUCAGGAGGAACACCGGUGGCGAAGGCGGGUCUCUGGGCCGAAACUGACGCUGAGGAGCGAAAGCGUGGGGAGCGAACAGG
rnacentral:rRNA from 1 species